GCCGGGUAUGGUGGUGCAUACCUGUAAUCCCGGCUACUUGGCAGGCUGAGGCAGGAGAAUCGCUUGCACUCAGGAGGCGGAAGUUGCAGUGAGCCAAGAUCACGCCACCCCACUCCACUGCACUCCAGCCUGGGUGACAGAGCGAGAUUCUGUCUCAA
rnacentral:SRP_RNA from 2 species